rnacentral:rRNA from 1 species
GACGAACGCUGGCGGCGUGCCUAAUACAUGCAAGUCGAACGCAGUGGGGACGGGUGAGUAACACGUGGGUAACCUCCCAUCAGAGGGGAUAACACUUGGAAACAGGUGCUAAACCGAUACUGAUGGAUGGACCCGCGGUGCAUUAGCUAGUUGGUGCGGUAACGGCUCACCAAGGCAACGAUGCAUAGCCGGCCGUAGAGGGUGAUCGGACACACUGGAACUGAGACACGGCCCAGACUCCUACGGGAGGCAGAAGUGGGGAAUAUUGCAAAAUGGGCGCAAGCCUGAUGCAGACAUGCCGCGUGUAUGAAGAGGGCCUUCGGGUUGUAAAGUACUUUCAGCGGGGAGGCGUUACCCGCAGAAGAAGCACCGGCUAACUCCGUGCCAGCAGCCGCGGUAAUUC